GAAAAUUCUUUGAUUUUUUAGGUAGAUCAAAAUGAAGUGUUGCUUCAAUUGUCGCUGAGGUUGAAACCCACCACCUACUAAAGAAACUGCAUGUGUAUUCAUUCGGGGAAUUAUAAUGUUAAAGGAAAGAUCAAAAACUUCAUGCUCAAUCAUAUGACUAUUGUUUUCUGAAGAGGUGAAGGACCAAAUGUAAAGAAGAUUGAAGGACUUUUACUCAUGUACGAACAAAUAUGAAGUCGAUUGAGUUUCUCUUUGUCAUGAUGAUCUUCAAAAUGCAACUUAGUUUGUCGAACAGGCUGGUGGGGGUUAUGUAGAAAACCCUUUAAAUUAUAUAUUUAUCGAUGAGAAAUAGAUUAAAAAGCAUUAUUAUUGAUAUUAUUUGAUAUUUCCCUUUUUUUCUAUAUCGAAUAAAUUAAAUGGUUAUUUCCCAAA